CCAACUAAAUCAUCAUUUGCUAAGCUAUUAGUAAGUUACUCCGAAUUAGUUUAAGCACAGCUUCUCUUUUAGUUAAUAAUUGAUCUACAUAUUCCACUA